UGCUGUCGACUACCUGGCCACUGAUGUUUGUACAGAUCCCAGCUGCAAUGAAAUCAUGUGUUCCCUUGCACACAAAACAUGCCAGGACCUGAAGGAAUGCAAUCGUUUCAAUGACGUUACGGUUUAUGAUGACUUUGUGAGAACGAUCACUUGCUGAACCAAGGGAAAUUUGACUUCAAACCAAAGCAUUGGGUGAACUCUAGCUGUACUCUGUUAUUGUGCUUCAAAAUUCGAAAGAAAAUCCGACUGAAAACAAUGGGGUUGAAAAA